rnacentral:rRNA from 1 species
ACUGACGCUAAGGCGUGAAAGCGUGGGGAGCAAACGGGAUUAGAUACCCCGGUAGUCCACGCCCUAAACGAUGUUCACUAGUCGUCGGGAUGCUAGUCAUCUCGGUGAUGCACUUAACAGAUUAAGUGAACCGCCUGGGGAGUACGGUCGCAAGAUUAAAACUCAAAGGAAUAGACGGGGACCCGCACAAGUGGUGGAGCAUGUGGUUUAAUUCGAAGAUACGCGAAGAACCUUACCUAGCCUUGACAUUGAUAGAAUACACCAGAGAUGGAGUAGUGCCUUUCGGGGAACUUGAAAACAGGUGCUGCACGGCUGUCGUCAGCUCGUGUCGUGAGAUGUUGGGUUAAGUCCCGCAACGAGCGCAACCCUCGUCCUUAGUUGCCAGCAGGUUAAGCUGGGCACUCUAAGGAGACUGCCUUCGUAAGGAGGAGGAAGGUGAGGACGACGUCAAGUCAUCAUGGCCCUUAUGGCUAGGGCUACACACGUGCUACAAUGGGGCGUACAGAGUGUUGCGAUACCGCGAGGUGGAGCUAAUCACUUAAAGCGUCUCUCAGUUCGGAUAGCAGUCUGCAACUCGACUGCUUGAAGCUGGAAUCACUAGUAAUCGUAGAUCAGCAAUGCUACGGUGAAUACGU